UGGGGAAUAUUGGACAAUGGGGGAAACCCUGAUCCAGCCAUGCCGCGUGAGUGAUGAAGGCCUUAGGGUUGUAAAGCUCUUUUACCAGGGAUGAUAAUGACAGUACCUGGAGAAUAAGCCCCGGCUAACUCCGUGCCAGCAGCCGCGGUAAUACGGAGGGGGCUAGCGUUGUUCGGAAUCACUGGGCGUAAAGCGCACGUAGGCGGAUUGUUAAGUCGGGGGUGAAAUCCCGGGGCUCAACCCCGGAACUGCCUCCGAUACUGGCAAUCUUGAGUUCGAGAGAGGUGAGUGGAAUUCCGAGUGUAGAGGUGAAAUUCGUAGAUAUUCGGAGGAACACCAGUGGCGAAGGCGGCUCACUGGCUCGAUACUGACGCUGAGGUGCGAAAGCGUGGGGAGCAAACAGGAUUAGAUACCCGCGUAGUCC
rnacentral:rRNA from 1 species